rnacentral:tRNA from 1 species
GGAGGGAUAGCUCAAGUGGUAGAGCGCAUACUUAGUGUGCACAAGUUCCUGUGUUCAAUCCCCAGUACCUCCU